rnacentral:rRNA from 1 species
UACGUAGGGUGCGAGCGUUGUCCGGAAUUAUUGGGCGUAAAGAGCUCGUAGGCGGUCUGUCGCGUCGAUCGUGAAAACUUGGGGCUUAACCCUGAGCUUGCGGUCGAUACGGGCAUGACUGGAGUUCGGCAGGGGAGACUGGAAUUCCUGGUGUAGCGGUGAAAUGCGCAGAUAUCAGGAGGAACACCGGUGGCGGAGGCGGGUCUCUGGGCCGAUACUGACGCUGAGGCGCGAAAGCGUGGGGAGCAAACAGG